rnacentral:rRNA from 1 species
AUUGAACGCUGGCGGCAUGCCUUACACAUGCAAGUCGAACGGCAGCACGGGUGCUUGCACCUGGUGGCGAGUGGCGAACGGGUGAGUAAUACAUCGGAACAUGUCCUGUAGUGGGGGAUAGCCCGGCGAAAGCCGGAUUAAUACCGCAUACGAUCUACGGAGGAAAGCGGGGGACCUUCGGGCCUCGCGCUAUAGGGUUGGCCGAUGGCUGAUUAGCUAGUUGGUGGGGUAAAGGCCUACCAAGGCGACGAUCAGUAGCUGGUCUGAGAGGACGACCAGCCACACUGGGACUGAGACACGGCCCAGACUCCUACGGGAGGCAGCAGUGGGGAAUUUUGGACAAUGGGCGAAAGCCUGAUCCAGCAAUGCCGCGUGUGUGAAGAAGGCCUACGGGUUGUAAAGCACUUUUGUCCGGAAAGAAAUCCUUGGCCCUAAUACGGUCGGGGGAUGACGGUACCGGAAGAAUAAGCACCGGCUAACUACGUG